rnacentral:rRNA from 1 species
CGCAGCGAAAUGCGAUAACUAAUGUGAAUUGCAGAAUUCAGUGAAUCAUCGAGUCUUUGAACGCACAUUGCGCCCCCUGGUAUUCCGGGGGGCAUGCCUGUCCGAGCGUCAUUGCUGCCCUCAAGCCCGGCUUGUGUGUUGGGUCGCCGUCCCCCUCUCC